UCCUACAAAUAUGGAUUCUUUUAGCAUCU
rnacentral:piRNA from 1 species